rnacentral:misc_RNA from 1 species
GAUGAAGAACGCAGCGAAAUGCGAUAAGUAAUGCGAAUUGCAGAAUUCAGUGAGUCAUCGAAUCUUUGAACGCACAUUGCGCCCUGUGGUAUUCCGCAGGGCAUGCCUGUUCGAGCGUCAUUUCAACCCUCAAGCUCUGCUUGGUGUUGGGCCACGCCCCCGCGGCCGGCCCCAAAGCUAGUGGCGGUGCCGUCUGGCUCUAAGCGUAGUACAUCUCUCGCUCUAGGGCCCGGCGGUUGCUUGCCAGAACCCACACUCUUAUGGUUGACCUCGGAUCAGGUAGGGAUACCCGCUGAACUUAAGCAUAUCAAUAAGCGGAGGA